CUCAUGAGUACCCAGUGAGCCCACGCUCUUUUCCUUGUAUGAUCAGGCCCUCUGUGGCUAGUGUAGAGCCUGAGAAGAUUAUGAAAAUGUGGCUGGUGACAUGGGACCAGGGAUGUGGAG
rnacentral:scRNA from 1 species